rnacentral:rRNA from 1 species
UCGCGAAAACUUUACAAUGCGGGAAACCGUGAUAGGGGAACUCCGAGUGCCCGUUAAAUCGGGCUGUCCAUUGGUUUAAAUAACCAGUGAAGAAAGGGCCGGGCAAGACCGGUGCCAGCCGCCGCGGUAAUACCGGCGGCUCGAGUGGUGGCCACUAUUACUGGGCUUAAAGCGUUCGUAGCUGGUUUGUUAAGUCUCUGGGGAAAUCUUCCGGCUUAACCGGAAGGCGUCUCAGGGAUACUGGCAGACUAGGGACCGGGAGAGGUGAGGGGUACUCCAGGGGUAGGAGUGAAAUCCUGUAAUCCUUGGGGGACCACCUGUGGCGAAGGCGCCUCACCAGAACGGCUCCGACAGUGAGGGACGAAAGCUGGGGGAGCAAACC